rnacentral:rRNA from 1 species
UACAGAGGUCUCAAGCGUUGUUCGGAUUCAUUGGGCGUAAAGGGUGCGUAGGCGGCGCGGUAAGUCGGGUGUGAAAUCUCGGAGCUUAACUUCGAAACUGCAUUCGAUACUGCCGUGCUUGAGGACUGGAGAGGAGACUGGAAUUUACGGUGUAGCGGUGAAAUGCGUAGAUAUCGUAAGGAAGACCAGUGGCGAAGGCGGGUCUCUGGACAGUUCCUGACGCUGAGGCGCGAAAGCGUGGGUAGCAAACGGG